ensembl:misc_RNA Metazoa_SRP Metazoan signal recognition particle RNA
GCCAGGCGUGGUGGCGGGCGCCUGUAAUCCCAGCUACUCAGGAGGCUGAGGCAAAAGAAUCGCUUGAACCCAGGAGGCAGAGGUUGCAGUGAGCCAAGAUCGCGCCACUGCACUCCAGCCUGGGUGAUAGAGUGAGACUCAGUCUCAA